UACGUAGGGAGCAAGCGUUGUCCGGAUUUAUUGGGCGUAAAGAGCUCGUAGGCGGUUUCGUAAGUCGGCGGUAACAACUCCAGGCUCAACUUGGAGACGCCCGCUGAUACUGCGAUGACUUGAGUGCGGUAGGGGAACACGGAAUUCCAGGUGUAGCGGUGAAAUGCGCAGAUAUCUGGAGGAACACCAAUGGCGAAGGCAGUGUUCUGGGCCGUAACUGACGCUGAGGAGCGAAAGCGUGGGGAGCGAACAGG
rnacentral:rRNA from 1 species